rnacentral:rRNA from 2 species
UGCUGGAGGUAUCAGAAGUGCGAAUGCUGACAUAAGUAACGAUAAAGCGGGUGAAAAGCCCGCUCGCCGGAAGACCAAGGGUUCCUGUCCAACGUUAAUCGGGGCAGGGUGAGUCGACCCCUAAGGCGAGGCCGAAAGGCGUAGUCGAUGGGAAACGGGUUAAUAUUCCCGUACUUGGUGUUACUGCGAAGGGGGGACGGAGAAGGCUAUGUUGGCCGGGCGACGGUUGUCCCGGUUUAAGCGUGUAGGUGUGUGUUCCAGGUAAAUCCGGUUCACUUUAACACUGAGGCGUGACGACGAGGCACUACGGUGCUGAAGCAACAAAUGCCCUGCUUCCAGGAAAAGCCUCUAAGCAUCAGGUAACAUCAAAUCGUACCCCAAACCGACACAGGUGGUCAGGUAGAGAAUACCAAGGCGCUUGAGAGAACUCGGGUGAAGGAACUAGGCAAAAUGGUGCCGUAACUUCGGGAGAAGGCACGCUGACACGUAGGUGAAGUGAUUUACUCACGGAGCUGAAGUCAGUCGAAGAUACCAGCUGGCUGCAACUGUUUAUUAAAAACACAGCACUGUGCAAACACGAAAGUGGACGUAUACGGUGUGACGCCUGCCCGGUGCCGGAAGGUUAAUUGAUGGGGUCAGCGCAAGCGAAGCUCCUGAUCGAAGCCCCGGUAAACGGCGGCCGUAACUAUAACGGUCCUAAGGUAGCGAAAUUCCUUGUCGGGUAAGUUCCGACCUGCACGAAUGGCGUAAUGAUGGCCAGGCUGUCUCCACCCGAGACUCAGUGAAAUUGAACUCGCUGUGAAGAUGCAGUGUACCCGCGGCAAGACGGAAAGACCCCGUGAACCUUUACUAUAGCUUGACACUGAACAUUGAGCCUUGAUGUGUAGGAUAGGUGGGAGGCUUUGAAGUGUGGACGCCAGUCUGCAUGGAGCCGACCUUGAAAUACCACCCUUUAAUGUUUGAUGUUCUAACGUGGACCCGUAAUCCGGGUUGCGGACAGUGUCUGGUGGGUAGUUUGACUGGGGCGGUCUCCUCCUAAAGAGUAACGGAGGAGCACGAAGGUUGGCUAAUCCUGGUCGGACAUCAGGAGGUUAGUGCAAUGGCAUAAGCCAGCUUGACUGCGAGCGUGACGGCGCGAGCAGGUGCGAAAGCAGGUCAUAGUGAUCCGGUGGUUCUGAAUGGAAGGGCCAUCGCUCAACGGAUAAAAGGUACUCCGGGGAUAACAGGCUGAUACCGCCCAAGAGUUCAUAUCGACGGCGGUGUUUGGCACCUCGAUGUCGGCUCAUCACAUCCUGGGGCUGAAGUAGGUCCCAAGGGUAUGGCUGUUCGCCAUUUAAAGUGGUACGCGAGCUGGGUUUAGAACGUCGUGAGACAGUUCGGUCCCUAUCUGCCGUGGGCGCUGGAGAACUGAGGGGGGCUGCUCCUAGUACGAGAGGACCGGAGUGGACGCAUCACUGGUGUUCGGGUUGUCAUGCCAAUGGCACUGCCCGGUAGCUAAAUGCGGAAGAGAUAAGUGCUGAAAGCAUCUAAGCACGAAACUUGCCCCGAGAUGAGUUCUCCCUGAGACUUUAGGUCUCCUGAAGGAACGUUGAAGACGACGACGUUGAUAGGCCGGGUGUGUAAGCGCAGCGAUGCGUUGAGCUAACCGGUACUAAUGAACCGUGAGGCUUAACCUUACAACGCCGAAG